rnacentral:rRNA from 1 species
UACAGAGGUCUCAAGCGUUGUUCGGAUUCAUUGGGCGUAAAGGGUGCGUAGGUGGCGCCGUAAGUCAGGUGUGAAAUUUCGGAGCUCAACUCCGAAACUGCAUUUGAUACUGCGGUGCUUGAGGACUGGAGAGGAGACUGGAAUUCACGGUGUAGCAGUGAAAUGCGUAGAUAUCGUGAGGAAGACCAGUGGCGAAGGCGGGUCUCUGGACAGUUCCUGACACUGAGGCACGAAGGUCAGGGGAGCAAACGGG